rnacentral:rRNA from 1 species
UACGUAGGGUGCGAGCGUUGUCCGGAUUUAUUGGGCGUAAAGAGCUCGUAGGCGGUUUGUCGCGUCGGGAGUGAAAACCUUGGGCUUAACUCAGGGCUUGCUUUCGAUACGGGCAGACUAGAGGUAUGCAGGGGAGAACGGAAUUCCUGGUGUAGCGGUGAAAUGCGCAGAUAUCAGGAGGAACACCGGUGGCGAAGGCGGUUCUCUGGGCAUGAUCUGACGCUGAGGAGCGAAAGUGUGGGGAGCGAACAGG